GAUGAACGCUGGCGGCGUGCCUAAUACAUGCAAGUCGAGCGAACAGAUGAGGAGCUUGCUCCUCUGACGUUAGCGGCGGACGGGUGAGUAACACGUGGAUAACCUACCUAUAAGACUGGGAUAACUUCGGGAAACCGGAGCUAAUACCGGAUAAUAUAUUGAACCGCAUGGUUCAAUAGUGAAAGACGGUUUUGCUGUCACUUAUAGAUGGAUCCGCGCCGCAUUAGCUAGUUGGUAAGGUAACGGCUUACCAAGGCAACGAUGCGUAGCCGACCUGAGAGGGUGAUCGGCCACACUGGAACUGAGACACGGUCCAGACUCCUACGGGAGGCAGCAGUAGGGAAUCUUCCGCAAUGGGCGAAAGCUUGACGGAGCAACGCCGCGUGAGUGAUGAAGGUCUUCGGAUCGUAAAACGCUGUUAUUAGGGAAGAACAAAUGUGUAAGUAACUAUGCACGUCUUGACGGUACCUAAUCAGAAAGCCACGGCUAACUACGU
rnacentral:rRNA from 1 species